UGGGGAAUUUUGGACAAUGGGGGCAACCCUGAUCCAGCCAUGCCGCGUGAGUGAAGAAGGCCUUCGGGUUGUAAAGCUCUUUCGGCCGGGAAGAAAUCGUGGUCUCUAACAUAGGCCAUGGAUGACGGUACCGGACUAAGAAGCACCGGCUAACUACGUGCCAGCAGCCGCGGUAAUACGUAGGGUGCGAGCGUUAAUCGGAAUUACUGGGCGUAAAGCGUGCGCAGGCGGUUUUGUAAGACAGAUGUGAAAUCCCCGGGCUUAACCUGGGAACUGCGUUUGUGACUGCAAGGCUAGAGUACGGCAGAGGGGGGUGGAAUUCCUGGUGUAGCAGUGAAAUGCGUAGAGAUCAGGAGGAACACCGAUGGCGAAGGCAGCCCCCUGGGCCUGUACUGACGCUCAUGCACGAAAGCGUGGGGAGCAAACAG
rnacentral:rRNA from 1 species